GGAAUAUUGGACAAUGGGGGCAACCCUGAUCCAGCCAUGCCGCGUGUGUGAAGAAGGCUUUCGGGUUGUAAAGCACUUUCAGUGAGGAGGAAAACCUUAUGGCUAAUACCCAUGAGGCUUUCCGUUACUCACAGAAGGAGCACCGGCUACCUCCGUGCCAGCAGCCGCGGUAAGACGGAGGGUGCAAGCGUUAAUCGGAAUUACUGGGCGUAAAGCGCGCGGAGGUGGUUUGAUAAGCGAGAUGUGAAAGCCCCGGGCUUAACCUGGGAACGGCAUUUCGAACUGUCAGGCUAGAGUAUGGUAGAGGAGUGUGGAAUUUCCUGUGUAGCGGUGAAAUGCGUAGAUAUAGGAAGGAACACCAGUGGCGAAGGCGGCACUCUGGACCAAUACUGACACUGAGGUGCGAAAGCGUGGGGAGCA
rnacentral:rRNA from 1 species